ACUUACAGUCCUAGAGCUGGCGUGCUGUCUACUCACAAUUUUCUCUUUCUUUCUUCUAUAAUUCUUCCGCUGGUAUUCGUCUUUCCAAAGGAGGGAUCCUCAUGAAUCCUUUUUCAGCUGCUGGUCCUGUUCUUCUAUCUCUGCCUCUUCCUUCCUCCUCCAGUCCUCCUCCUCGCUUGCUUGCUUGCUAGCUUCUUUUAAUCUCGAAUCAAUGGGGAGAAAUUAAGAACAAAGAUUGAACUUGAUUGUGGGUCACUGUGUCUGCCACAGGGAAAAAAAAAAAAUUCUAGGAAACAGCAAAUCUGAAAGUUAGUGCGCGAAUUCUGUAAUCGCCUCCUCUCUCUCGGAUUAACUGUCUUAGUUUAGGGGAGCCCAACGGCCGCCUGCAUCCAAGUUGAUGUCAAGUUGAUGUCUAAUGGCAGCAAGAGUCUUUUCGAAACUGAAAAUCCCUAUUUUCACUUCAACACUCCUGAUUAGAGUACCCACUAAAGGGCCUUCAGCGAAUGUAAUAUCCAAAGUUCCUGCUCUGGACUUCGACUCACAUAAACCCUUCAAUGGGUUUAGGGAUUACCAUGACGGAAGGCCGAGAGGAUCCCUUUGGAGAGGGAAGAAGCUGAUAGGCAAAGAAGCUCUUUUUGUGAUUUUGGGAUUGAAGAGAUUUAAGGAUGAUGAAGAGAGGCUCAACAAGUUCAUCAAGACUCAUGUGUUGAGGCUUUUGAAGAUGGAUCUGGUUGCUGUUGUCCUCGAGCUAGAGCGCCAGCAGGAGGUCGCUUUGGCUGUCAAGAUUUUUAGGGUGCUUCGAAAGCAGGACUGGUACCAGCCUGAUGUUUAUUUGUACAAGGACCUAAUUAUUGCACUAGCCAAAUGUAAAAGGAUGGAUGACGUAAUGCAGUUGUGGGAAAGUAUGAGAAAUGAGGAACUCUUUCCUGACUCUCAAACUUAUACUGAAGUUAUUCGAGGCUUCUUGAGGGAUGGGUCUCCUGCUGAUGCUAUGAAUAUUUAUGAGGACAUGAAGAACUCUCCGGACCCACCAGAGCAGUUACCAUUCAGGAUUCUGUUAAAAGGACUACUGCCACAUCCUCUUUUGAGAAAUAGAGUGAAGCAAGAUUUUGAGGAGCUCUUUCCUGAUGGGCAUGUUUAUGAUCCUCCGGAAGAGAUAUUUGGCUUACGCUGAGGGAUUUAUAGAAUUCCCUACUUACAGUAAAAUUCAUGAUUGUGCAUCAAAACCUGAUGUAACAGCAAGUAGGAUCAAAGGAACUUCUGUUCAACAAAAUCAACAUAAGCAGAAGAGUUCUAUCACAGAAGAUCAUGGAGAAAUCCAGCUGAUUUCUUUGUUAUCAAUGCAUUUCCAUUUCACUAAGAACUUCUGCCGCUUCUUCCUUGAGGAUGUGAAUUUUCUGUCUGCAAGGAUCUCUUCAACGUCAUGUUUGUCAGAUUGCAAUGUCUUCAACUCUGCUCUAUUGGACUAACUUCUGCUAAGGUCAUUGGUGUUGGCGUUGAAUGACUGGAGGCAGCUGACAUGAAACUGCGGUCUUCUCCCCUUAUCUGCCCACUUCUUCAUCUGCUCAGAAGCUUUCUCCGGAUAGGCUUGGGAAAACUCUGCAUUCUGUCUCCCUACACUAGUGAAGAUGUAUGCCUUGGGACUCUUUUGUUUGUACGGCUCGCCCACUGUGUGAGGUAACAGUGGCAGCUGGCCUGUAAUAAGCUCAAAAGGGCUCUUGUUGAUUGUUGAGCGCCUUUGGGCGUUGCCACAUAACGAAGCCACAUCAAGUAGUUGUACGCCAUUCUUCUGGUUGUCAUUGACAAAAUGGCACAA